CGGCGAACGGGUGAGUAACACGUAGGCAACCUGCCCAUGACACGGGGAUAGCUUCGGGAAACCGGAGGUAAUACCCGAUACCUUUACUUAUUGCAUGAUAAGUAAAGAAAGCGAAUAGCGGUCAUGGAUGGGCCUGCGUCCCAUUAGCUAGUUGGUGAGAUAACAGCCCACCAAGGCGACGAUGGGUAGCCGACCUGAGAGGGUGACCGGCCACACUGGAACUGAGACACGGUCCAGACUCCUACGGGAGGCAGCAGUGGGGAAUCUUGCGCAAUGGGCGAAAGCCUGACGCAGCGACGCCGCGUGAGCGAAGAAGGCCUUCGGGUCGUAAAGCUCAGUCAUUGGGGAUGAGAUGACAGUACCCAAGGAGGAAGCCCCGGCUAACUACGUGCCAGCAGCCGCGGUAAUACGUAGGGGGCGAGCGUUGUCCGGAAUUACUGGGUGUA
rnacentral:rRNA from 1 species